CUUAGGGCUUGUGUCUCACAUUGUGGGUAGGACAAAUCUUAAUAAAAAGAGCAGGAGUGCAUAGAGACUUAGUACUUAGUGUAGUGAGAUUGUUGUAAGCGAUCUGUACUGCACUCCUCGCGAGCAUUUGAAUUAAUAUUCUUGUCUCAUCGUGUUUUCUGUUUGCUGAUUCUUUUCUCUUUACAGUUAAUAUGUCAGU